rnacentral:rRNA from 1 species
UAUCCUGGCUCAGGACGAACGCUGGCGGCGUGCCUAAUACAUGCAAGUUGAGCGCUGAAGUUGGUACUUGUACCGACUGGAUGAGCAGCGAACGGGUGAGUAACGCGUGGGGAAUCUGCCUUUGAGCGGGGGACAACAUUUGGAAACGAAUGCUAAUACCGCAUAAAACUUUAAACACAAGUUUUAAGUUUGAAAGAUGCAAUUGCAUCACUCAAAGAUGAUCCCGCGUUGUAUUAGCUAGUUGGUGAGGUAAAGGCUCACCAAGGCGAUGAUACAUAGCCGACCUGAGAGGGUGAUCGGCCACAUUGGGACUGAGACACGGCCCAAACUCCUACGGGAGGCAGCAGUAGGGAAUCUUCGGCAAUGGACGAAAGUCUGACCGAGCAACGCCGCGUGAGUGAAGAAGGUUUUCGGAUCGUAAAACUCUGUUGGUAGAGAAGAACGUUGGUGAGAGUGGAAAGCUCAUCAAGUGACGGUAACUACCCAGAAAGGGACGGCUAACUACGUG